GAGAGUUUUUAACUCUAGUGGCGGACGGGUGAGUAACACGUGAGAAUUUACCUUUAGGAGGGGGAUAACAAUUGGAAACGACUGCUAAUACCCCAUAUGCUUUUGAGUGAAAUGGAUUUAUAUUUAUCCGCCUAGAGAGAAGCUCGCGGCUGAUUAGCUUGUUGGUAAGGUAAGAGCUUACCAAGGCGACGAUCAGUAUCUGGUUUGAGAGGACGAUCAGACACACUGGAACUGAGACACGGUCCAGACUCCUACGGGAGGCAGCAGUGGGGAAUUUUCCGCAAUGGGCGAAAGCCUGACGGAGCAAUACCGCGUGAGGGAAGACUGCCUAUGGGUUGUAAACCUCUUUUUUCAGGGAGGAAUAAAAUGACGUGUACCUGAAGAAUAAGCAUCGGCUAACUCCGUGCCAGCAGCCGCGGUAAGACGGAGGAUGCAAGUGUUAUCCGGAAUCACUGGGCGUAAAGCGUCUGUAGGUGGUUUAAUAAGUCAACUGUUAAAUCUUGAGGCUCAACUUCAAAAUCGCAGUCGAAACUAUUAGACUAGAGUAUAGUAGAGGUAAAGGGAAUUUCCAGUGGAGCGGUGAAAUGCGUAGAUAUUGGAAAGAACACCGAUGGCGAAAG
rnacentral:rRNA from 1 species